CCUACGGGAGGCAGCAGUAAGGAAUAUUGGUCAAUGGACGCAAGUCUGAACCAGCCAUGCCGCGUGAAGGAUUAAGGCCCUCUGGGUUGUAAACUUCUUUUAUAGGGGACGAAAAAAGGGCAUUCUUGCUCACUUGACGGUACCCUAGGAAUAAGCACCGGCUAACUCCGUGCCAGCAGCCGCGGUAAUACGGAGGGUGCAAGCGUUAUCCGGAUUUACUGGGUUUAAAGGGUGCGUAGGUGGGUUGGUAAGUCAGUGGUGAAAUCUUCGAGCUUAACUCGGAAACUGCCAUUGAUACUAUCAAUCUUGAAUCAUCUAGAGGUAAGCGGAAUAUGUCAUGUAGCGGUGAAAUGCUUAGAUAUGACAUAGAACACCAAUUGCGAAGGCAGCUUACUAUGGAUGCAUUGACACUGAGGCACGAAAGCGUGGGGAUCAAACAGGAUUAGAUACCCUGGUAGUCCACGCCCUAAACGAUGGAUACUCGACAUUUGUGAUAUACAAUAAGUGUCUGAGCGAAAGCAUUAAGUAUCCCACCUGGGAAGUACGACCGCAAGGUUGAAACUCAAAUGAAUUGACGG
rnacentral:rRNA from 1 species